UGGGAUAUAGCUCAGUUGGUAGAGUGCUUGCCUUGCAAGCAUAUGCAUAAGGCCCUGGGUUCAAUCCCCAGCACCACAA
rnacentral:tRNA from 1 species